AGUGAAGAAGUAAAAUUAUACCCUCAAUUUCGACCUGAGUUUUGGAGCAAAAUCCCACACUU
rnacentral:tRNA from 1 species